rnacentral:rRNA from 1 species
GACGAACGCUGGCGGCGUGCCUAAUACAUGCAAGUAGAACGCUGAAGGAGGAGCUUGCUUCUCUGGAUGAGUUGCGAACGGGUGAGUAACGCGUAGGUAACCUGCCUGGUAGCGGGGGAUAACUAUUGGAAACGAUAGCUAAUACCGCAUAAGAGUAGAUGUUGCAUGACAUUUGCUUAAAAGGUGCAAUUGCAUCACUACCAGAUGGACCUGCGUUGUAUUAGCUAGUUGGUGGGGUAACGGCUCACCAAGGCGACGAUACAUAGCCGACCUGGGAGGGUGAUCGGCCACACUGGGAAUGGGAAACGGCCCAGACCCCUUCGGGAGGCAGCAGUAGGGGAUCUUCGGCAAUGGACGGAAGUCUGACCGAGCAACGCCGCGUGAGGGAAGAAGGGUUUCGGAUCGUAAAGCUCUGUUGUAAGAGAAGAACGAGUGUGAGAGUGGAAAGUUCACACUGUGACGGUAGCUAACCAGAAAGGGACGGCUAACUACGUG